rnacentral:rRNA from 1 species
UACGUAGGGUGCGAGCGUUUAUCGGAAUUACUGGGCGUAAAGCGUGCGCAGGCGGUUCGUUGUGUCGGCGGUGAAAGCCCCGGGCUCAACCUGGGAAUGGCCGUUGAAACUGGCGGGCUGGAGUGUGGCAGAGGGGGGUGGAAUUCCACGUGUAGCAGUGAAAUGCGUAGAGAUGUGGAGGAACACCGAUGGCGAAGGCAGCCCCCUGGGCCAACACUGACGCUCAGGCACGAAAGCGUGGGGAGCAAACAGG